GAUGAACGCUGGCGGCGUGCCUAAUACAUGCAAGUCGAGCGAACGGACGAGAAGCUUGCUUCUCUGAUGUUAGCGGCGGACGGGUGAGUAACACGUGGAUAACCUACCUAUAAGACUGGGAUAACUUCGGGAAACCGGAGCUAAUACCGGAUAAUAUUUUGAACCGCAUGGUUCAAAAGUGAAAGACGGUCUUGCUGUCACUUAUAGAUGGAUCCGCGCUGCAUUAGCUAGUUGGUAAGGUAACGGCUUACCAAGGCAACGAUGCAUAGCCGACCUGAGAGGGUGAUCGGCCACACUGGAACUGAGACACGGUCAAGACUCCUACGGGAGGCAGCAGUAGGGAAUCUUACGCAAUGGGCGAAAGCCUGACGGAGCAACGCCGCGUGAGUGAUGAAGGUCUUCGGAUCGUAAAACUCUGUUAUUAGGGAAGAACAUAUGUGUAAGUAACUGUGCACAUCUUGACGGUACCUAAUCAGAAAGCCACGGCUAACUACGUG
rnacentral:rRNA from 1 species